rnacentral:tRNA from 1 species
GGUUGUGGCUCAGUGGCAGAGUGCUUGCCUUGCACAUGUGAGACACUGGGUUCAAUCCUCGGCACCA